rnacentral:rRNA from 1 species
AUUGAACGCUGGCGGCAGGCCUAACACAUGCAAGUCGAGCGGAGCGGCGGACGGGUGAGUAAUGCCUAGGAAUCUGCCUGGUAGUGGGGGAUAACGUCCGGAAACGGGCGCUAAUAUCGCAUACUAUCAGAUGAGCCUAGGUCGGAUUAGCUAGUUGGUGGGGUAAAGGGCUACCAAGGCGACGAUCCGUAACUGGUCUGAGAGGAUGAUCAGUCAAACGGGAACUGAGACAAGGUCCAGACGCCUACGGGAGGAAGCAGUGGGGAAUAUUGGACAAUGGGCGAAAGCCGUAUCCAGCCAUGCCGCGUGUGUGAAGAAGGUCUUCGGAUUGUAAAGAACUGUAAGUUGGGAGGCGUUACCAAAAGAAUAAGCACCGGCUAACUUCGUGCCAGCCGCCGCGGUAAUAC